CCUGGAACACUUUUGACUGGCGAGCCAAUUUUACAGGAACUUCCCUGUAACACCCCCACAUCCCAUGUGUUGAACUCUUUGUUAGUCACACUCUCUGUGUGGAAACCCACUGUGGGGAUGGUGGUCACUGAUGGGCCCAGGUUCACCUUGUACAGGAUGGUUGUCUUGCAGGCUGCGUCCAGGCCCAACAUGAAGAUCCACAUGUCCUUGUUACUGAAGAAUUUGGAUAACACAUUCUCUAUUGCAUCAUUUUUUUUUUUUGAGAGAUUUGAUCUACCUGUGUUGUUCAGAUGGGCACCAAACUCUAGGUUCAAGAGAUGCUCCUGCCUUACUCUCGUGACUAACUGGAACUAUAGACAGACAUGGCAUCAAGGUGUCUUACCUGAAUGUGAAUCUCUGUCCCAUCCUCACCUGGGCAAGAGCCACAGCCAUCGGCAGGGAAACGUGGUCAUUUCUGCAUGCAACAGUGUGUUCAGCAUCCAACCUCCAAGAAAGGUAGGAAACUAACCUAAAAAGUGUGGGGUUUAUCUUGCUGUGUAUAGUCUGAAUGUUUUCCUUGGCUACUGCUGUCCAUAUUCUCCUGGAUUUUAAUAGCCAGUACCUUGUUUCCUGUCCUCUGAGUAUU
rnacentral:lncRNA from 1 species